UUGUCUAUUUCUUCUUUGAGUUUUAUCAAUUUUUGCUUUGUAUAUUUUGAAGUCAUGUAUAUUAAAGACAAAUACAUACUUAAAGCUGUUAUUAUCUUCCUGGUGAAAUGAAACUUAUCGUCAUGAGAUAGUCCCGGUUGCUGCAGUAGUGCUCUUUUGCCUUAGUGACUAUCUCUCCUGAUGCCCUUUUGGUUACUUUCUUGGUUUGUAUUGGCUGUCUCUCUUUAGGCAUCCCUCAAAAGUCUGGCAAUUCUUGACUGUCUGUGUGUGUGUAUUUUAAAAUCUCCGUUUGCCUGCCUGUUACAUUUACUGUAGUGUCCAUUUCAUGAUUAUAGCAGUAUGUUGCUGUUAGACUUAUGACAGCAGCUUGCUUCCUGAGUGUGUACGGAGGAGAGGUCUUUGUUCCUUUUCGUUUGUUCGUUGGUAACUGGCUUGGACGUGCCUCUCUGAUCCCAAGCACCAAACUCACGGGUUCAUCCCUAGACAGCUGCUGCUCCCAUCUGUUGUUUAGCACAAAGGAAUUACGGAGAGAAGCUAACUUUUAAAACUGACACAACCACGGCUCCCAAGUGACAGUCCCUAUCAAUGUCACAGGUGACCAUCUGUUUCUUCUAUACAUUGACCCGAGACUUGCUCCUCCAGCACUUGUACUGCAUUACGUUCUGGGUUAGCCAUUGUGAAAAGUUCUCCCGGCACAUGUCUCAGCAGAUCAGCAGAGGCCUGGGGGAGUCAGGACUUUCUCCUCCAUCGCAGUGUCCAUGGAAACCACGUGGACUCCCCCGGGACCCUCACCCCGACCAGUAGUAACAAGAAGCACCCCCCGCCCCAUUUCAGAUGCAAGAGGCCAAGUGGGGAACCUGGACUUCCUUCCACCUGGCACUAACAAGGUGGCAGCCACCCUUCCUCUGUCAAAGCCAUGUCAGAAAAAGCCAGGAUCCUGGCCAGUCCUCGGUGACGUAGGGACGUGAGAAGAGGUACAAGGAUGUGACAAACAUCCACGUCCCUCUCCUUCCCCUUCUACUAUGGGCCCAAUCCAGGUGAGAAAUCACAUGUCCAGGGGCGCCAGCUGCGCAAGGGGAGGGGAAAGAAAAGAAGCUAAGAAACAAGAAGGCCCGUGGAGACAACCCAAGUAUCCACCAACAGACGAACGGACAGACGAAAUGUGGCAUCAGACACACCAUGGGGGAGUGCGCAGCAGCAGGAGGGGAGGAGAUGCUGACACAGGCUAUGACAUGGAUGGCCCUGAAGACACUGUGCCCGGUGAAAGCAGCCAGUCCCAAAGGGACAAACACUGUAUGAUUCUGUUUACAUGAGGUUCCCAGAGCAGUCAGACAGAAUGUAGACUGACGGUUGCCGGGGCUUGGGGGAGAGGAGCACGGGGUUAUUGUUCAGUGGGUCGUUUCAGCUGGGGGAGAUGAAGUCGUCUGGGGACAGACCGUGAUGACGGACGUACAGCACCGUGGAUGCGCUUAUGCUGCUGAGCGGGAUGCUUACAAGUGGUUGAAACAGUAAGUUACGUGCCGUGUAUAUUUUAACAAAAUUUUUAAAAAGCUAAUUAUCGGGGGAAAAACCAGAAACAAGAGGACCUUAGACGCCUUCAUGCUUUGGGGAGGGAUGGCAUCUUUUCACUGAACAAAGUGUUUGAAAUCACAAGUGGAACUCACUUUUCUAAAAACUCAAAGCAACUUCCUGUCGGCAUGUUACUAGGAGCAUCACCCCGUGGGGGACCGCGCAGUCACAAGGGCCGCUCUCACCA